GACGAACGCUGGCGGCGUGCCUAAUACAUGCAAGUAGGACGCAGUUGCGAACGGGUGAGUAACGCGUAGGUAACUACCUAUUAGAGGGGGAUAACUAUUGGAAACGAUAGCUAAUACCGCAUACUAGGCGAUGGACCUGCGUUGUAUUAGCUAGUAGGGAGGGUAAUGGCCUACCUAGGCAACGAUACAUAGCCGACCUGUGGGGGUGAGCGGCCACACUGGGACUGGGACACGGCCCAGACUCGUACGUGAGGCAGCAGUGGGGAAUGUUCGGCAAUGGGGGCAACCGUGACCGAGCAACGCCGCGGGAGUGAAGAAGGGUUUCGGGUCGUAAAGCUCUGUUAUGAAGGAAGCGGUACUUAACCAGAAAGGGACGGCUAACUACGUGCCAGCAGCCGCGGUAAUUC
rnacentral:rRNA from 1 species